rnacentral:rRNA from 1 species
CCUACGGGUGGCAGCCGUGGGGAAUAUUGGGCAAUGGGCGCAAGCCUGACCCAGCAACGCCGCGUGAAGGAAGAAGACUUUCGGGUUGUAAACUUCUUUUACGAGGGAAGAGCAGAAGACGGUACCUCUUGAAUAAGCCUCGGCUAACUACGUGCCAGCAGCCGCGGUAAUACGUAGGUGGCAAGCGUUGUCCGGAUUUACUGGGUGUAAAAGGCGUGCAGGCGGGAAGACAAGGAAGAUGUGAAAGCCCGCGGCUCAACCGCGGUACUGCAUUUGAAACGGUUUUUCUUGAGUACCGGAGAGGUCAUCGGAAUUCCUUGUGUAGCGGUGAAAUGCGUAGAUAUAAGGAAGAACACCAGUGGCGAAGGCGGAUGACUGGACUGAAACUGACGGUGAGGCGCGAAAGCGUGGGGAGCAAACAGGAUUAGAUACCCGGGUAGUC